GGACUCGGAGAGAAACCGUGGCAGAGCUCGGCCGCAGCGUGGUGGAUGGCGUGGGCUCAGCUGAAAGGAAGUCAAAACGCUCCCUUCCUUCCGCGGCUUCUUGUUUCCCCGUGUCGGAAGAGGUCUGCGCUCCGAUGUAGGUGGUAGUGCCUGGAAGGUGCGGAGGAGAUGAGAGAUAAGUGAAUGUGGAAAGAUUGGUGUUACAUAGGACGAGGUGGCCGAGUGGUUAAGGCGAUGGACUGCUAAUCCAUUGUGCUUUGCACGCGUGGGUUCGAAUCCCAUCCUCGUCGGCCGUCUUUUAUAGAGCGGCGUGAGAAAAGCAUCUAAAUUUUCACAUCCUACCUGUUUGGAGCAGCAACCUGGAGAAAACUCAACUGGAGGCCCCCACACUACACCGGCUCCAUGGCCUGGCUUUGGGAGCUCCAGAGCUGCCUCCAACCUGGAGGGAGUCCCCUGCCUCCACGUGCUGGAAGGAUGGAACUAUUAUCUGAACCAAGCAAGAUCAUGCUUGGCUACUGGUCUACUGUCCUGCAUGGCAUCCUGGGGUCUCUGGAGGCACUUUUCUUGGGAAGCAGAGUGUGAGCUCUGAAGAUGGAAUUCCAGCUCUGCUGUGUGGUCUUGAGUAAGUAGAGACAGAUUUCACCAUGUUGACUAGGCUGAUCUCGAACUCCUGACCUCAAGUGAUCCACCUGCUUCAGCCUCCCAAAGUGCUGGGAUUACAGGGUGAGCCACAGUGCCACAUUGAUUGAUUUUCGUAUGUUAAACAAUCUUGCAUUUCUGGAAUAAUUCCUACUUGGUCAUGGUGUGUAAUUCUGAUAAUAUAUUGCUGGGUUAGGUUUGCUAGUGCUUUGUGGAGGAUUCUUGCAUCUAUAUUCAUAUAAGAUACGGUCUGUAGUUUUCUUGGAAUGGUCUGUAUGUUACUUUGGCCUCAGGUCACAUAGAAUGAGUUGUAAAGUGUUUUUCUUCUACUUUAUGGAAGAGUUUGAGGGUUGUUGUAAAUUUCUUUUUUCUUUUUAUUUCGCACACUACCCUCAUGUAGGAAUUGUUGUUAAUUCUUUUUGUUUUGUUUGCGACAGAGUCUUGCUCUGUCACCCAGGCUGGAGUGCAGUGGCAUGAUCUCAGCUCACUGCAACCUCUGCCUCCUGGGUUCCAGAGAUUCUCCUGUCUCAGCCUCCAAGAGUAGCUGGGAUUAUAGGUGUGCACCACCACGCCCCGCUAAUUUUUGUAUUUUUACUAGAAACUGGGUUUCACCAUGUUGGCCAGGCUGGUCUCAAACUCUUGAUCUCAGGUGAUCUGCGCUUGUCAGCCUCCCAAAGUGCUGGGAUUACGGGCGUGAGCCACCACGCCUGGCCGGAUUGAUGUUAAUUCUUCAAGUGACUGGUAGAAUUCACUUGUGAAGCCAUCUGGUCCUGGGAUUUUCUUUGUUGGGAGGUUUUUGAUUACAGAUUAAAUCUGGUUACUUGUUAU
rnacentral:tRNA from 1 species